UACAGAGGGUGCGAGCGUUGUCCGGAAUCACUGGGCGUAAAGGGCGUGUAGGCGGCUGGGUAAGCCGCGUGUGAAAUCCCGGGGCUCAACCCCGGAACGGCACGCGGGACUGUCCGGCUAGAGAAUGGUAGAGGCGAGUGGAAUUCCUGGUGUAGCGGUGGAAUACGUAGAGAUCAGGAAGAACACCGGUGGCGAAGGCGGCUCGCUGGGCCAUUUCUGACGCUGAGGCGCGAAAGCGUGGGGAGCAAACAGG
rnacentral:rRNA from 1 species